rnacentral:tRNA from 1 species
GGGCUGUUAGCUCAGUUGGUAGAGCAGCGGGCUUUUAACCCGACGGUCACAGGUUCGAAUCCUGUACGGCCCA